UACGAAGGGGGCUAGCGUUGCUCGGAAUUACUGGGCGUAAAGCGCACGUAGGCGGCUUUCUAAGUCGGGGGUGAAAUCCUGGAGCUCAACUCCAGAACUGCCUUCGAUACUGGAGAGCUUGAGUCCGGGAGAGGUGAGUGGAACUGCGAGUGUAGAGGUGAAAUUCGUAGAUAUUCGCAAGAACACCAGUGGCGAAAGGCGGCUCAC
rnacentral:rRNA from 1 species